AGAGACGAGUCAGAGUUUGAUCCUGGCUCAGAGUGAACGCUGGCGGUAGGCCUAACACAUGCAAGUCGAACGGCAGCACGAGAGAGCUUGCUCUCUUGGUGGCGAGUGGCGGACGGGUGAGGAAUACAUCGGAAUCUACCCUGUCGUGGGGGAUAACCUCGGGAAACCGGGACUAAUACCGCAUACGACCUUCGGGUGAAAGUAGGGGAUCGCAAGACCUUACGCGAUUGGAUGAGCCGAUGUCGGAUUAGCUUGUUGGCGGGGUAAAAGCCCACCAAGGCGACGAUCCGUAGCUGGUCUGAGAGGAUGAUCAGCCACACUGGGACUGAGACACGGCCCAG
rnacentral:rRNA from 1 species